GCUGGCGUGGCGCAAUUGGCAGCGCACCUGAUUUGUAAUCAGGGGGUUGGGGGUUCGAGUCCCCCCGCCAGCUCCA
rnacentral:tRNA from 1 species